rnacentral:lncRNA from 1 species
CCCAAAAUAGAAUCCCAUUAUCCCAAUAAAAUUUACAACUACAAAAUAAUUAAAUGCACAAUUUCAAUUUGCAACACUGAGAAAUAAAAAAUCUUAAUCAAUAAAAGAUUUCAUAGCCCACUAGAUUUUCAAAACAGAAUCCCCAUUAUCCACAACUACAAAAUCACCACAUGCACAAUCUCAAUUUUAAUUACAAUUUGCAAUACUAAAAACUCAUAGAAUUUAAGCAAUUAAAGAAGAGUGAAUGAUUUGCUUAAAAAUAAAUCACACGAACGACAUCAUUGAGACCCUAGCAUAGCGAUUGAAUCUAGAAGUGAAUGGCCUUACCUUGAGCAACUUAGCAGCCACUAACGAUGAUGCAGAAAGAAGAGGAGGAGGAAAAAAAUGAAUCACACGAACGACAUCGUUGAGACCAUAGCAUAGCGAUUGAAUCUAGAAGUGAAUGGCCUUACCUUGAGUAACUUAGCAGCCACUAACGAUGAUGCAGAAAGAAGAGGAGGAGGAAAAAAAUGAAUCACAAGCCACAUUUCUGAUCAACACUCAUAGCCCACAACUCAAUCAACAAUCGAUUGUGAGGACUCCAUAAAUUUUUGAGAUGGAGAAUGGAGAACUGAUAGAGGAACAUGACUAGAUGAGGCAGAGACAAUCCUUCUUCAGUCGCCGCAAGGAGGAAAGGAAGAACAAGGAAUUGCAUUAGAGUGGCGUGUAAGAGAAACUGAAAUGGCUUGAAGGAGAGAUACAAGUGGCGUGAAGGAGA